AUUGAACGCUGGCGGCAGGCCUAACACAUGCAAGUCGAGCGGAUGAAGGGAGCUUUCUCCUGGAUUCAGCGGCGGACGGGUGAGUAAUGCCUAGGAAUCUGCCUGGUAUUGGGGGAUAACGUCCGGAAACGGGCGCUAAUACCACAUACGUCCUGAGGGAGAAAGUGGGGGAUCUUCGGACCUCACGCUAUCAGAUGAGCCUAGGUCGGAUUAGCUAGUUGGUGGGGUAAAGGCCUACCAAGGCGACGAUCCGUAACUGGUCUGAGAGGAUGAUCAGUCACACUGGAACUGAGACACGGUCCAGACUCCUACGGGAGGCAGCAGUGGGGAAUAUUGGACAAUGGGCGAAAGCCUGAUCCAGCCACGCCGCGUGUGUGAAGAAGGUCUUCGGAUUGUAAAGCACUUUAAGUUGGGAGGAAGGGAAGUAAGUUAAUACCUUGCUGUUUUGACGUUACCAACAGAAUAAGCACCGGCUAACUUCGUG
rnacentral:rRNA from 1 species